rnacentral:rRNA from 1 species
GACGAACGCUGGCGGCGUGCUUAACACAUGCAAGUCGAACGGAAAGUCCCUGCUUUUGGGGGGUGCUCGAGUGGCGAACGGGUGAGUAACACGUGAGUACCCUGCACUUGACUUUGGGAUAACUUCAGGCAACUGGGGCUAAUACCGGAUAGGAUCUCCUGCUUCAGGGUGGGGGUUGGAAAGUUUCGGCGGUUGGGGAUGGACUCGCGGCUUAUCAGCUUGUUGGUGGGGUAGUGGCUUACCAAGGCUUUGACGGGUAGCCGGCCUGAGAGGGUGACCGGCCACGUUGGGACUGAGAUGCGGCACAGACUCCUACGGGAGGCAGCAGUGGAGAAUAGUGCACAAUGGACGGAAGGCUGAUGCAGCAACGCAGCGUGCGGGAUGACGGCCUGCGGGUAGUAAACCGCUUUCGCCUGUGACGAAGCGUGAGUGACGGUAAUGGGUAAAGAAGCACCGGCUAACUACGUG